rnacentral:rRNA from 1 species
UACGAAGGGGGCUAGCGUUGCUCGGAAUCACUGGGCGUAAAGCGCACGUAGGCGGAUCUUUAAGUCAGGGGUGAAAUCCCAAGGCUAAACCUUGGAACUGCCUUUGAUACUGGGGAUCUCGAGUCCGGAAGAGGUGAGUGGAACUGCGAGUGUAGAGGUGAAAUUCGUAGAUAUUCGCAAGAACACCAGUGGCGAAGGCGGCUCACUGGUCCGGUACUGACGCUGAGGUGCGAAAGCGUGGGGAGCAAACAGG